rnacentral:rRNA from 1 species
UAGUCAUACGCUCGUCUCAAAGAUUAAGCCAUGCAUGUCUAAGUGCAAGCACUUGUACUGUGAAACUGCCGAAUGGCUCAUUAUAUCAGUUACAGUUUAUUUGAUAGAUGCCUAUUACUUGGAUAACCGUAGUAAUUCUAGAGCUAAUACAUGCAAGAAAGUCCAACUUUUCUGACGGGCUGUAUUUAUUAGAUAGAAACCAAUGCAGGGUUUCAACCCUGGUGUUGUGAUGAGUCAUAAUAACUAAGCGAAUCGCAUGGUCUAGUGCCGGCGAUGAAUCAUUCAAGUUUCUGCCCUAUCAGCUGUCGAUGGUAGGGUAUUGGCCUAGCAUGGCGUUAACGGGUGACGGAGAAUUAGGGUUCGAUUCCGGAGAGGGAGCCUGAGAGACGGCUAUCACAUCCAAGGAAGGCAGCAGG